GGUUUCCUACGGGGGGCAGCAGUGGGGGAUAUUGCACAAUGGGGGGAACCCUGAUGCAGCGACGCCGCGUGGGCGAUGGAGUGCUUCGGCAUGUAAAGCCCUAUCAGCAGGGAAGAAAAUGACGGUACCUGACUAAGAAGCCCCGGCUAAAUACGUGCCAGCAGCCGCGGUGAUACGUAUGGGGCAAGCGUUAUCCGGAUUUACUGGGUGUAAAGGGGGCGUAGGCGGCCUGGCAAGACUGAUGUGAAAUACCGGGGCC
rnacentral:rRNA from 1 species